UCUUAAGGUUAACACUGGAAUAAUGUGCAUUGUUUUGAGAACCAUUUACAAACGAGCCGGUAAUAUGGUAGGAAAGCCAGCGGCAGAGAGGACCAAGUUUAAACAAUUGAGAAAAACUACUCGUGCUACAUUUAUGCUGCUACCACUCAUGGGCACCACGUGGCUCUUCGGACCGUUUGCUCUCAAUGCUGAUACUGUAUUCAUUGAUUACGCCUUUAACUUGCUUAACGGCUGUCAAGGAAUAUUCAUAUUCAUUGUCUACUGCGUCUUUGAUAAUGAGAUAAAGGAGUGUUUUAAAAAACGAUUCAAGAAAAAUGAAGUAACUCCACGGACGGAAAUGACGCAAAACGAGUGACUAUAAUGCAUACAUUUUGCAUAGGUAUUGACUAUGCUGAACGUCAUUAUAGUAUUCAAACUAAAAUGCACUACAAUUUUAGAUGUGAGCUCUGCGUCUAAAUGAAAUUGUAUGUGGUAAUAAUAUUAUUUAUACACAAUGCAUGUUAUAUUGUACGAUUUAUUCACUCUAUUAUAUAAAGACAAGACACUGUCUAUUGUUAACAGUACACAUUAAUCUAAACUACAGGGUGCGCUCUCUUACUUACCUUCAUGUUAAACAUCACGAUUAGUUUUGAUAAAAUAGAAGAAUUAUUUAUGACCACUAACAGCAGAUUGGAUUAAUUACGGAAAUACACAAAGAGUUUACGGAAAUUUAUCACUGGGCCUAGACCUAAACGUUCAGGUUACAUAUUUCUCCUGGACAACUCAUGGAUAAAUAUGGUGUGGUAAACGUUACGCAUUUAUUUGUGUUGAUGGUAGGGUGUUUAGGUAAGGUACAUGAAGUACCGUAAGGCGUUAGUUUAUAGGUCAUUAAUACUGUUACAUCGCCUUAGAAAUGAUAUACUUGUGACAUAUUGAAGAUAUUACUUUAGAUAUAGAUUUGACACUUUAUGUAAAUAUGCUGCAACUUUCAUUUAUAUACUCUAAGAUCUAGAGGUCAUGUUCUGCCUUGCUGACACAAAAGGAUGAAUUAUGAAGAGGAAAGCGAACCACAUUUAACAGUUCAAAGUUGUUGAAACUGAUAUAAAAAGUAAUGAAACAACCCCCUGAUACAUACAUACAUUCAAAUUCCCCAUGGACAGGAAGGCCUCAUUUUAACUUUACGGAUCUUCCAGUGUAUAGUUUGAUUAGGUGGAAUGUAUACACUCUAACAACUCUAACAAAUGAAAAACAAAAUAAUUACACACACACACAAAUACAUAGGUCUAGCCGAAGUUGAAUUGUGAGUGGAAAGACGAUAUUUUCGUGAUUUUUUUUUAUGUAGGGAAGAGACGAUGAACAACUUAUUUUCUUUUUUACAUGGCAUUUGGUUGAGUGAUUUUUUUUUAUGUAAGGAGGGACGAUCAAAAAAUUAUAUUUUGCCUACAUUGCCUUAUUAAAUUCAAACCACAGGAAUUUAAGUGAUUGUGUAAAGAAUGCCACGUGUACAAAACAGCCAUUAUUUUUCCUUCAAUAAGCUGAAAUAUGGAAUCAUGUCCACUUCGUGAGAUGAACACUAUCCUAUGUUGUUACAGUCCUCCCGACCGGUAGGUUCCGAACCCUAGACUUUUAUUUUUAUUUAUUUUAAUACCAUAUUUCAAGAGGGUGACCCAUCCAGCAAUGCUGAUCAUUAGGGGCCCUCAUACAAUACAAGAAUAAAAACACGAGUCACUUAAUUACACAAAUUUAUAAAAUUCAGAUAUAAAAGAUAAUUUGUAAAAAUUUGAGAAUACAUUAAUUAAAAACGUUUUAAAAAGAUAAACAAGAAAAUUACAGAAUAUACUGUUUAAAUUUAAGUCAGACAUUAUCUGAUGUAAUAAUUUAACAAUGUAAUUUUAGGCUUUGAAAUGAGCAUAAUUAUAAUAUAGAUAUUACUAAUUCUGUGGCAUCUUGGGAGCUACUAUGUGAUGCCGGUUCUUUCUAUUUAUGAGACUCGGGGAUAUCCCGAUAGAACAGAGUAGAUUCGAGGGAGAUCCCUUUGGCUAUUAUUAUUAACUUAGUAGUAAAUGUUCAUGGAACCUGCAUUAUUGAAUUGGGGCGAAAUAAUUUGACAAGAAUUAUAUCAGCCAAAUUGAUCGAAUUACAUGAGAAAAAGCCCUCAAGAAAUAUUUUUUUUCCCAAAAUGGUAAAAAGUGUCUUAUCGAGAUCCAGCUUAUUGAAAAUAAAGCCUUAUCAAGUAUUAGCUGUAAUUUAAAUAGUAUAUAAUGUCAAUAGAUGUUUAACGUUUAUGAUUCAGUAUGUAGAAAUAAAGAAAAAAAAGCUUGGCCUAAUGUAGUCAAGAAAAAUAACGUAGUAGGCCUACAGUUUGGUAUAAGUGUAAGCAUAUUAAUAAAUAUACUGUACUUUAAAAUUAGUAAAUAUUUGUUAAUAAUUUAAGGAAAGGGAAGAAGGCGGUAUAAUUAUGAGCAUUCACCAUUGAAAAAAAUGGACUAUUACACUAAAGUAGAUUUGAAUGUGUGGAUGUGGAAAUAUGAGAGAAUUUAACUCGAAUUUUAAAGUCUUUAAUGAAUUGGUCAUUUAAAAUGUGGCUAUAUGGUAACAAUACAUUGUAAUACCUGUCAUAGAUCUGGUUGGUUUGUAUAUGUAACAGUGUAGCGUGUUUUCGUAGUAUUAUCGAUAUUGUAUUGAUUGAUUCAUUAAUUCCUUGUUCAUUAAAAACUCAAUUAAAUUUUUACCAAAACUAAAGGAAUUAUUAUGCAUAAAAACUAAAUAGAAAAUCGCACCACCGUCCCAUUUAUAUGCAAAUUAGCUAAAAAUAUGAAAAUUAGUGAUAAAUAUAUGGGGUUCGAUAUCUGUUUAGCCUGUGGUGACAGAAACUUGCAUGUUUCUAUUUGCUCUAAUGCCAAGUUUGCCUCAAAAAAUAUUUGACCUAUGACCCUAUGUUUUGCAGGAUUUCCAUAAUCUCCACAACUCCUGUCUGUAGAGAAUUAUGGUUUCAAAUUGGUCAGAUUCAUGUUUCUAUUCACUGAAAUACAACGAAGAGAAUAAAUUCUAAAAAUCCAACCUCGAAAUUAGCUAAAAUAAUAUUUUGUCGCUGGCCGCAAGUUAUGCAAAUUAGGGUUAAAAAUAUGAGUUUGCAUGUCUGUGUAACCACUGGUUGCAGAUUUGUUUUUUCAAAUUGUUCGGGCAUGCUUUUAUUUGUCUUAAUGUAACAUUUGCACCAGAAAAUUACCAGAAACACCACGUUACACUUAUGACACUACAGUAUGUAUUUUCAGGAUUUUUUCUAUCUUGUGACGACUGUACAUGAACAUUGAUUUUGGUCUCAAAUGAUACAAUAAUCUUGAAUAAAUUCACUGU
rnacentral:lncRNA from 1 species